UACGGAGGGUGCAAGCGUUAUCCGGAUUUACUGGGUUUAAAGGGUGCGUAGGUGGACAGGAAAGUCAGUGGUGAAAUCUUCGAGCUUAACUCGGAAACUGCCAUUGAUACUAUUUGUCUUGAAUACUUUGGAGGUAAGCGGAAUAUGUCAUGUAGCCGUGAAAUGCUUAGAUAUGACAUAGAACACCAAUUGCGAAGGCAGCUUACUCCACAGUUAUUGACACUGAGGCACGUACGCGUGGGGCUCAAACAGG
rnacentral:rRNA from 1 species